rnacentral:rRNA from 1 species
AUUGAACGCUGGCGGCAGGCCUAACACAUGCAAGUCGAACGGUAACAGGAAGAAGCUUGCUUCUUUGCUGACGAGUGGCGGACGGGUGAGUAAUGUCUGGGAAACUGCCUGAUGGAGGGGGAUAACUACUGGAAACGGUAGCUAAUACCGCAUAACGUCGCAAGACCAAAGAGGGGGACCUUCGGGCCUCUUGCCAUCGGAUGUGCCCAGAUGGGAUUAGCUAGUAGGUGGGGUAACGGCUCACCUAGGCGACGAUCCCUAGCUGGUCUGAGAGGAUGACCAGCCACACUGGAACUGAGACACGGUCCAGACUCCUACGGGAGGCAGCAGUGGGGAAUAUUGCACAAUGGGCGCAAGCAUGAUGCAGCCAUGCCGCGUGUAUGAAGAAGGCGUUCGGGUUGUAAAGUACUUUCAGCGGGGAGGAAGGGAGUAAAGUUAAUACCUUUGCUCAUUGACGUUACCCGCAGAAGAAGCACCGGCUAACUCCGUG